rnacentral:rRNA from 1 species
CGCGAAUGGCUCAUUACAACAGCCUUAGUUUAUUGGAUCUUAGAGUCCUACUUGGAUAACUGUGGUAAUUCUAGAGCUAAUACACGCAAUUAAUCCUCAACCUUACGGGCGAGGAGCAUUUAUUAGAACAAAACCAAUCGGCUUCGGCCGUAUCUGGUGAAUCUGAAUAACUACGCUGAUCGCAUGGUCUCGUACCGGCGACAUAUCCUUCAAGUGUCUGCCUUAUCAACUGUCGAUGGUAGUUUACACGCCUACCAUGGUUGUAACGGGUAACGGAGAAUAAGGGUUCGACUCCGGAGAGGGAGCCUGAGAAACGGCUACCACAUCCAAGGAAGGCAGCAGGCGCGCAAAUUACCCACUCUCAGAACGAGGAGGUAGUGACGAAAAAUAACGAGACAGUUCUCUAUGAGGUCUGUCAUCGGAAUGGGUACAAUUUAAACCCUUUAACGAGGAUCUAUUGGAGGGCAAGUCUGGUGCCAGCAGCCGCGGUAAUUCCAGCUCCAAUAGCGUAUAUUAAAGUUGUUGCGGUUAAAAAGCUCGUAGUUGGAUCUGCGGUCGUAGACUCUGGUUCCCUCCUAGGGAUACUAGCUGUCUCGACCUACCUUGUUAGAUUUCCCUUGGUGCUCUUUACUGAGUGCCUUGGGUGUCUAGCUCGUUUACUUUGAAAAAAUUAGAGUGCUUAAAGCAGGCAUUUGCCUGAAUAGUGGUGCAUGGAAUAAUGGAAUAGGAUCUCGGUUCUAUUUUGUUGGUUUUCGGAGCAUGAGGUAAUGAUUAAGAGGGACAGACGGGGGCAUUCGUACUGCUACGUUAGAGGUGAAAUUCUUGGAUCGUAGCAUGACGAACAACUGCGAAAGCAUUUGCCAAGAAUGUUUUCAUUAAUCAAGAACGAUAGUUAGAGGUUCGAAGGCGAUCAGAUACCGCCC